rnacentral:rRNA from 1 species
CACUCCUACGGGAGGCAGCAGUGGGGAAUUUUGGACAAUGGGCGAAAGCCUGAUCCAGCAAUGCCGCGUGAGUGAAGAAGGCCUUCGGGUUGUAAAGCUCUUUUGUCAGGGAAGAAACGGUGAAAGCUAAUAUCUUUUGCUAAUGACGGUACCUGAAGAAUAAGCACCGGCUAACUACGUGCCAGCAGCCGCGGUAAUACGUAGGGUGCAAGCGUUAAUCGGAAUUACUGGGCGUAAAGCGUGCGCAGGCGGUUUUGUAAGUCUGAUGUGAAAUCCCCGGGCUCAACCUGGGAAUUGCAUUGGAGACUGCAAGGCUAGAAUCUGGCAGAGGGGGGUAGAAUUCCACGUGUAGCAGUGAAAUGCGUAGAUAUGUGGAGGAACACCGAUGGCGAAGGCAGCCCCCUGGGUCAAGAUUGACGCUCAUGCACGAAAGCGUGGGGAGCAAACAGGAUUAGAAACCCCAGUAGUCC